CCCUUAGAUGUUCUGGGCCGCACGCGCGCUACACUGAUGAAUUCAACGAGUUUAUAACCUUGGUUGAGAAGCCUGGGUAAUCUUUUGAACGUUCAUCGUGAUGGGGAUAGAUUAUUGCAAUUAUUAAUCUUCAACGAGGAAUGCCUAGUAGGCGCAAGUCAUCAGCUUGCGUCGAUUACGUCCCUGCCCUUUGUACACACCGCCCGUCGCUCCUACCGAUUGGGUGUGCUGGUGAAAUGUUCGGAUCGGCCGUUUGUCGCGGUUUCCGCGUCAUGUGGCUGAGAAGUUCAUUAAACCCUCCCACCUAGAGGAAGGAGAAGUCGUAACA
rnacentral:rRNA from 1 species